GGAAAGGAAAUAAUGAGUGUUUCCAGAUGAACGUCCUACUUGUCCUCCUCAGCAGGGUUUCCCCACAGUAGUUUUCCCACAGUAGUUUUCACCAGUUCUCGCACAAGCUUCUUGCUGGUUGUUCCCACUGGUGAGACUGCUAGCACUGGCUGUAUCACUCUUUGUUAUGGGGCAGGUGCCUCACAAAUCUUGGCAGUGAUUUCUGCAUGCACGUUGCUUGUCCCGUAAUGUAACACAAAAGCUACAACUGAAGAGGAAAAGGGAGCAAGAAGGGGUGAUUUUCACACCAGCAGCAAUCACUUCCCAUUAAAGCCUACCACAGUGAUGUUGUUGAGGGUUGUGGGUGCAUGAGAGAAAAAGCUUGAAAAAUCAUUGUGAGAGUAACAAGGAGGAGAUAUGGUGGCAGAGGCUCUGGCAAACUGCCCUUGCAUCUUGGGUGGAAGGUUGUGGAGUUGGAUCAAAAGGCAGUUUACAACAGUGCAGGCAGAAGGCCAAAUUGCUAAGAUAUCUAAAGCAGUGUGCAACAAGGUGCAGGAGAAGAAUCCUUCACUAUUUUGGCCUUAGAACAGAACCUGAAGAGGAUGUGAAAGCUCUCUCCUUGGAGGUACCCAGAGCUUGACUGGAAAAGGUCCUCAGCAACCCAAUCAAACGUGAAGGCUUUCCAACAGAUAUUCUUGGAGAAAUCAGCCAUGCCUAGGUUUAUAAAAAUGAACAGAAACAGGUGUUACAGUGAUGGAAAGUUUGCAGAAGAAAAUGAUCCGGGAAAAAUACCAUGCAGAAAAAGUUUGUUUUUGGCAGCCUCCAUCCUCUACAUUGAAACCCGUUAGAGUGAGGGCCAAGCCCUGAGCCCCCCCAUGUCCCCCUGCAGCCAACACACAUGGAAGAGUGAAUGACAGAAACCCAGCCAGAGGAGAGGGAUCCAACAGCUGGAUGAGGUUAAGAAGGGC
ensembl:lncRNA